UGCACAAGAGUGCACAAGGCUGCACGAGGACACGGGGUGCACGAGGGUGCACAAGGACACGGAGUGCACGAGGACAUGGGGUGCACAAGAGUGCACAAGGUUGCACGAGGACACGGGGUGCACAAGGACAUGGGGUGCACGAGGACAGAAGGUGCACGAGGAUAAAGGGAUGCACAAGGAUACACGAGGGUGCACGAGGGUGCACAAGGAUAAACGUGUGCACGAGGACAGGGGGUGCACGGGGCACAAGCGGCGUUGCACGAGGAUUCACGAGGACUCACGAGGACUCACGAGGAUGCACGAGGACGAAGGGGGUCACACG
rnacentral:lncRNA from 1 species